UACGGAGAUGCGAGCGUUAUCCGGAUUUAUUGGGUUUAAAGGGUGCGUAGGCGGAUUGAUAAGUCAGUGGUGAAAUUCUACAGCUUAACUGUAGACUUGCCGUUGAUACUGAUAGUCUUGAGUUUGGUUAAGGUAGGCGGAAUGUGUAAUGUAGCGGUGAAAUGCUUAGAUAUUACACAGAACACCAAUUGCGUAGGCAGCUUACUGAGCCGACACUGACGCUGAGGCACGAAAGCGUGGGGAUCGAACAGGAUUAGA
rnacentral:rRNA from 1 species